GCCUCCAGACCACAAGUCACAACAGAGAUUUGGGCAGGGGAAUCACUGCAAAGAGCAGGAGCUGGGUUAUUUCUACAAAGUGGCGAUCAUCUACAGAAGUGGAACUCACUCUCAUGAAGUGGCCUUUUGAAAGCACUGGUUAAAGGAUACCUUGCCAUCCUGUUAUUGCCCAAGCCCGGCAAGCCAUAACAGAAAGCAUGGGUGGCCUGCACUGCUGAGGACAGCUGAUGAGACCCAGAACUGGUGGUAAGCGCUAGAGCAAUUCUCUUCAGAGGAACAGAGUGAUGCAGAGAGAUCACCAGGGCAGGCAGCAAGGAGCUCCUGUUGGUAUGUGGAGGAAGAGCAACCAGGAGCAUCUCACUGCUCUAGCAGUGGACCUGUUUGCUAUCCCAGCUGCAGAGAAGCACUAAAUAUAUUUUCUUUUUUAAGAGAUCAGAGAAGGACAUAAGAGACUGAGAAGGAAAAAAAAAAGAGAUGAUGGUGUAUACACUAAAGGGCAAAUAUACUAUUGCUAGUAUAAAAGCAAAUAUAAUGUGGGCCUUUGUACUGAUACGGUAGUGUUUUCUGUCCUGCUUCAUCUCUGAAAAGGAAAACAAGCGACACUACAGAAGGGACAGUUUUGCUGGUAUAACAGCAUUUACACUAGAGGCUUUCUUCCAGCAUAGCUCUAAAAGCCAUGGUUGUACCCUUUCCUGCUCGGUCUGAAUUCACGGUGUCCAUAGGCUACAUCAGUAGCCAGACUGUGUCACUGUGAUUUGCCCAGGCACCCUGAUGUCAGGCUGGCUGCAAACAAUCUGGCUUUCAUCGAGCUCCCGUCAGGCCUUUCUGCCACAGUGGAGAACAGGUAGGUGACACAGGCAAAGGUGUCUUUCUAUGGCUUGACACCUAGGUGCAAGCUGCAUCAUAGUUCCAAUUUUCACUGUAUUGAAUCAUUGAAUAUUACUUUCUCACUGGCAAGGACUGCUAGUUUGGCUCAGUCUGAAGCAAAUGGUAUCAGUCUUGGAAGAAAUAGGCAGGCAGAAGAGAAGUUGCCAUUUUUAAGCAGGAAGAAAAACUGUUUUAUCUGCGCCACUGAUCCAGGAGAUGGCAAGUUUCAGGAUUAUUUAGCCACAGGUGGUGGGACUAUAUUGCUAUAUGGACCUGAGAGGCUGAACAAGAUGCACAGCUUUCCCCUCAGGAAGAGGCUGUAGUUGAAUUUGACUGAAGAUCUGAAUAUUGAUCUUUCAGUGCUGUAUAGUAAGACUGAAAAUCCAAAGCUCACGCAGAAGCGCAUUGCAAUUACUCUGAAAAAUGGCAACCCUCUGCUGCUACCAAGCAACUGUGAACCAAUCUGGGGAUAUCAAAUCAAUUCUGGGUGGUGGAAAUUUGGCUGCUUCUGAAAUGGUGCUUAACUAAACUACAAAUUCUAAGCUGUAAAUUACACAACUUCAAGUGUUUGUGCAAACAGAAACAUUGUUGGAAGCAGUUGUCAAAAAUUAAUCAAAUCACUACUGCAGAAAGAAGUUCAGAACCUGAAUCUCUGUGCAGUAAUUCCCAUAACAGAAUUGCUCCUGAUUCACAGUAAUGGGAGAUUGACAGGUCUUGCUGUAGAUCUCCUUGCCUGGCUUGUAUACCCAGCGCACAGGCAAGUUCUGCAUGUUUUCUACUGUUAGCACAUGGCAUAACUCUUGAAAUAUGCUCCAAAUUUUCAGCUGAUGAAUAGUGCAGCUGCCCAUCUCCUACACAGUUUGAGCAGCUAUUAGCACAUAAGGUUGGUACUUAGCUCUCUGAAUUGGUUUAUGAUAUGCUUCUGCAUGAAGGGUGUUAAUUAUAAUCCAAGGAUUGUCUCUUUAUGAAUAAAAAUAUUUUAAGGAAAUUAUAAAUAAGGGCA
rnacentral:lncRNA from 1 species